rfam:Triticum aestivum genome assembly, contig: Triticum_aestivum_CS42_TGACv1_scaffold_211026_3AS
AAGGUACUCCCUCCGUUCCGAAUUACUUGUCUUGGAUUUGUCUAGAGAUAUCUAGCACUAAAAUGAGUCUAGAUACAUCCGUAUCUAGACAAACACAAGACAAGUAAUUCGGAACGGAGGGAGUAGUAA